rnacentral:piRNA from 1 species
UGGUAAAGUAGAUAAUUGGCAUUUUUCAA